UAUUAAGAAUGUAAUUGGCUAUAUGGUCACAGAGUUCAUUUGUGAAACAAUUGAAGCCAAGUGUUUGAACCCAGACAGAGCUGAUGGGGGCGGAACGCACACGGAUAGUUUGGACCUUUGGGAAUCUAACCACCAGACCAUUUUUGUUGGGAUGUUUACCUUGUUAGCUUUCAGAUCUAACUCUUCAGCAGGUGGUCUCAACACAAGCGGACUCUUAACCCCGUGGUGCAGCCCAGUCCAGGAGGGGGGAGUGCAGAGAUACACAAUCUGGAUGAAGCAUCUCCAAAAUCGUUAUGUCUCCAUCUCCAUGACAAUGGUCUCUAAACCCACACACUGUCAACACAUUAGUCACUUUAUGAUUCAUCUGGGAUGUUGUUGUUGUUGUCCUAAGAGGCAUCGAAGAAGAUGUGUGUGUGUAACUGCGUGUGUGUGUGUGUACCUGUGUGUGUGAGUGUGUGUGUGUGUGUACCUGUGUGUGUGUGUGUGCCUGUGUGUACGUGUGUUUCCACUUCCCCUCUCAUUAGUUGCAGCCCUCAGCAGAAGUAUUAUCUCCCUGAGACAAUACUUCAUCAGUGCAUUAGUCAUAAUUGACAGCAUUAGUGGCCAUGCCCCCUGGCUCCCCAUAGCAGUGCUCUCCACAGCGCUAAUCCUAACCUUCCUCUGUGCUGCCAGUGGCAGUAGACCUAGCCUAGCCUAGCCUAGCCACAGUACAGUCCCAGCCCAGUUUAGCUCAGUCCAGCGCUACCUAGUCCUGCCCCAGCCUAGCUCAGUCCCA